GUUCCGCCUGGGGAGUACGCACGCAAGUGUGAAACUCAAAGGAAUUGACGGGGGCCCGCACAAGCGGUGGAGUAUGUGGUUUAAUUCGAUGCAACGCGAAGAACCUUACCAGGGCUUGACAUCCUGCGAACCUCUGGGAAACCGGAGGGUGCCUUCGGGAGCGCAGAGACAGGUGGUGCAUGGCUGUCGUCAGCUCGUGUCGUGAGAUGUUGGGUUAAGUCCCGCAACGAGCGCAACCCACGCCGUUAG
rnacentral:rRNA from 1 species